AAUCCAUAGGUUAAUGAGGCGAACCGGGGGAACUGAAACAUCUAAGUACCCCGAGGAAAAGAAAUCAACCGAGAUUCCCCCAGUAGCGGCGAGCGAACGGGGAGGAGCCCAGAGCCUGAAUCAGCAUGUGUGUUAGUGGAAGCGUCUGGAAAGGCGCGCGAUACAGGGUGACAGCCCCGUACACAAAAGCGCAUGUGCUGUGAGCUCGAUGAGUAGGGCGGGACACGUGGUAUCCUGUCUGAAUAUGGGGGGACCAUCCUCCAAGGCUAAAUACUCCUGACUGACCGAUAGUGAACCAGUACCGUGAGGGAAAGGCGAAAAGAACCCCGGCGAGGGGAGUGAAAAAGAACCUGAAACCGUGUACGUACAAGCAGUGGGAGCACAGGUUUACCUGUGUGACUGCGUACCUUUUGUAUAAUGGGUCAGCGACUUAUAUUCUGUAGCAAGGUUAACCGAAUAGGGGAGCCGGAGGGAAACCGAGUCUUAAUUGGGCGUUAAGUUGCAGGGUAUAGACCCGAAACCCGGUGAUCUAGCCAUGGGCAGGUUGAAGGUUGGGUAACACUAACUGGAGGACCGAACCGACUAAUGUUGAAAAAUUAGCGGAUGACCUGUGGCUGGGGGUGAAAGGCCAAUCAAACCGGGAGAUAGCUGGUUCUCCCCGAAAGCUAUUUAGGUAGCGCCUCGUGAAUUCAUCUCCGGGGGUAGAGCACUGUUUCGGCUAGGGGGCCAUCCCGGCUUACCAACCCGAUGCAAACUGCGAAUACCGGAGAAUGUUAUCACGGGAGACACACGGCGGGUGCUAACGUCCGUCGUGAAGAGGGAAACAACCCAGACCGCCAGCUAAGGUCCCAAAGUCAUGGUUAAGUGGGAAACGAUGUGGGAAGGCCCAGACAGCCAGGAUGUUGGCUUAGAAGCAGCCAUCAUUUAAAGAAAGCGUAAUAGCUCACUGGUCGAGUCGGCCUGCGCGGAAGAUGUAACGGGGCUAAACCAUGCACCGAAGCUGCGGCAGCGACACUGUGUGUUGU
rnacentral:rRNA from 1 species